CUACCAUCUGCUAAAUCGGAAGGGAUGUUUGAGGAAAAAUCGCAGGAACAGACUAAACAACAAGACGCCUUUUCUGCGGGUUCGACCACGAGACCAGGAUGACGGAGAAUUUAAAAGCACCAGGUCCUCUUCUGAGCAGCAGGUGGGGUUUAGGACGUCCGAGCUUCCAAGAAAAACAUAAGGCCAGACCCUUUCCCGAAAGGAAGGGAAAUGCCCACUCUUCACUCUGCCAACACCUUCCUGUGGAAAACAAUUAAAUCCACUGCCUGUGAACAAAGUGUCCUGUUAAAGGCUGAGGUCGCUACUGAUUCCUCCCCCUCGUCUCCCUCGAGCGACUCCAGGCUGCUACAGAGGCAUGGCCAGCAUGGACCUCCAGGGCCACAUCCCAGGGUCUAAGUGCAGGUGACGUCAGGGGUGAUGACCUGGGACUUGGAGCCCAGAUGCGACUCUGCAAGAGACUCGGCCAACACAGGCAUAGAGCUACAUGCAGCAGGACCGCCUCUGCCUGGGAGCUGCCCCUGGGGAGACGGGCUGGACGCUGGGCACCUCCGGACUCUGGCCGUUGUCCACCCACAUGACCACAUGACAGUCAGAAUGGUCCUCUGAUAAAUGUCUGACAUCCACACCCAGUUCUGACAUUUAAAAUAAGAAAAAAAUGACAGCACCUUCUAAAUAGCUCGUGCAAUAUUCUGAG
rnacentral:lncRNA from 9 species